ensembl:lncRNA LINC01193 long intergenic non-protein coding RNA 1193
AGUAACACUCUGGGAGGGCUCAGGCCACAUCACGAAAUGUGACAGGAUAGCCUUGAACUCAUCAAUUGCUGGCAAGGUAAGCUGUCAUCAGUUGGAGGUAAGCAGAAGACAGUAGAGAGUACAGAGCCCUGGACUGUGACUCAGAGGAUGAGCACCAGAUCCAGUUUGCUGUGCCACAGUGCCUUCUCCAAAGUCACUCACAGAAGGCAUCCCACUCAACCUCACCUUGGGGUAAAUCAAAAUAGUCCUCCUUCUGAAGCUACCGGGUAAAACGGUGGUAGCUGUGCAGCUGCUGCUGAUCAACAGGCUCCAGAAACAGCAGCAGGAGCUCAGCAUGAUGUAAACUCCACUGCGGACAGAUGCAGCCAAGAAGACAGGUCACCUUCUACCAACUCCCACCAGAGGAAACUCUUCCCCAGGACCCAUGAUAUGAACCUAAGGAACUGGUGGCCGCAUAUCAGUGAUGCAUCUGGCUCAGCUUAUUUGGGUGGCAGAGUCAGCUCCAAGGCUGCAGGCAGAGGCACCGCUCCUGAAGCACUGCUAGGCCCAGCUCCCAUGUCAAAGGCCUCAUGCAGCCCUACACACAGGGCUGGCUGGUUGCUCCCAAGCCCAAGCCUCUGUUGGGUGGUUUCUUCCUCAAGAUUUUAGAAACAGGCUUUCUGGUCUGUUGAAAUAAAGGCAGUGGUCUGAUAGUUUCUAAAUAAAUUUAAAGCUUAUUUUUUCUCCCUUCCAGAAGUAUCAUGUACAUUUGCUGCCAAGUAGCUCUAUUAUUCCAGGCCAUUAAAUCUGAAAAAUCUAACAGUUUUCA